rnacentral:rRNA from 1 species
GGAAGGAUCAUUACUGAAUUGUCAAACGGGCUGUUGCUGGUCCUCGAACGGGGGCAUGUGCACGCUCUGUUUACACAUCCACUCACACCUGUGCACCCUCUGUAGUUUUACGGUCUGGGGGACCCUGUCUUCCUUCCGUAGUUCUACGUCUUUACACACACACACUGUGAUAAAGUCUUAUGGAAUGUAUGCCGCGUCUAACGCAACACAAUACAACUUUCAGCAACGGAUCUCUUGGCUCUCGCAUCGAUGAAGAACGCAGCGAAAUGCGAUAAGUAAUGUGAAUUGCAGAAUUCAGUGAAUCAUCGAAUCUUUGAACGCACCUUGCGCCCCUUGGAUAUUCCGAGGGGCAUGCCUGUUUGAGUAUCAUGAACACCUCAACUCUCAUGGUUUGCCGUGAUGAGCUUGGACCUUGGGGGUUUUGCUGGCCUGUGGUCGGCUCCUCUCAAAUGAAUCAGCCUCCCAGUGUUUGGUGGCAUCACGAGUGUGAUAACUAUCUACGCUCGCGGUUUUCCACCAGGUAACCUUUGGUGACAAAGGUUCGCUGGAGCUCACAGAUGUCUCUCCUCAGCGAGGACAGCUUUUUAACGUUCGAUCUC